AGAAGGAAACUCAUGAGGCCCACAGACAACAGCAGCAACAGGAGCUGCAGGAGAUGCUGGACAGGCAUCGCUCUCAGAAUGAGGCAUGGCUCCGAGCCAGAGCUGAAGAGAACGACCGAGAGAGGAGGGAGCUAUGCAGACUCAGAGAGGAGGUGUUACAGGAGCAGGAGAGGCUGAAGGAGGAGCAGAUCAGCAUCCAGAAACGCAGUGAACAUCUUCUGUCCAUCAUGCAGCAAUUCAAAGGAAUGUGAGAUAGAUAGAUAGAUAAAGAAUGGGUUUAAUAUACAUGUGUUAAUUAUAUUUGACUUUGUUUAAUUUUAUUUCAUUUUGGUGUAA